rnacentral:misc_RNA from 1 species
AACUUUUGGCAACGGAUCACUUGGCUCUCGCAUCGAUGAAGAACACAGCGAAAUGUGAUAAGUAAUGUGAAUUGCAGAAUCCAGUGAAUCAUCGAAUCUUUGAACGCAUCUUGCGCUCCUUGGCAUUCCAAGGAGCAUGCCUGUUUGAGUGUCGUUAAACUAUCAAAACACUUUUCUUGGGUGUUUUGGACUUGGGAGUAUCUUGCUGGUCUGUUUGGGCCAGCUCUCCUCAAAAGCAUUAGCUUUGGAGACCAUCAGUGUGAUAAUUUGUUUACACUGACUCGAGUGUCUCAGCUUCUCCUUUUCAAUAAUACCCCUUUGACCUCAAAUCAGGUAGGACUACCCGCUGAACUUAAGCAUAUCAAUAAGCGGAGGCU